UUAUCCACAAUACAGGAACAGCAUGGUCAACAGCAGAGCCAGCUACCCGCAUGCUGUCUACUGCUAAUGUGCCUCAAUCUUGACUAGGCGAGACCGCUUCUAUGUGGUGA
rnacentral:sRNA from 1 species